ACGGAAGGCAGCAGUGGGGAAUAUUGGGCAAUGGGCGAAAGCCUGACCCAGCAACGCCGCGUGAAGGAAGAAGGUUUUCGGAUUGUAAACUUCUUUUAUGAGGGACGAAGGAAGUGACGGUACCACAUGAAUAAGCCACGGCUAACUACGUGCCAGCAGCCGCGGUAAUACGUAGGGGGCGAGCGUUAUCCGGAUUUACUGGGUGUAAAGGGCGCGUAGGCGGGGAUGCAAGUCAGAUGUGAAAUCCAUGGGCUCAACUCAUGAACUGCAUUUGAAACUGUAUCUCUUGAGUACUGGAGAGGUAGACGGAAUUCCUUGUGUAGCGGUGAAAUGCGUAGAUAUAAGGAAGAACACCAGUGGCGAAGGCGGUCUACUGGACAGCAACUGACGCUGAGGCGCGAAAGCGUGGGGAGCAAACAGGAUUAGAUACCCUGGUA
rnacentral:rRNA from 1 species